rnacentral:lncRNA from 1 species
AGGGCAGAGCGACGCGGCUCAAGGCACGCCGGGAAUUGUAGUCCAUGAAUGGUCCUACCCUCUACUCUUUCCCUGAGAUUUCGCCCUCCCAACGUGACCGGAGACGCUCAGUUCACGGAUGCAGUUGGUACUCCCAAGCUAGUUUGAUGUGGCGCGCUGGAUCCGGGAAGAGAACGGACUACAGCUCCCAGGAUCCCCUUAAGAUGGGCUUUGGGCUCCGCGACUUCUGGUUUCUUUCCCAACGGUCUGAAGCAGCAACCGUGCUGGCACUGCUCCUUCCGAGGUUACUCCAUCUGAGAUAACUGACCAAGACCAGGAAGAUAAAAACAAUGUCAGAGGCCAACUGGAGACAGGAUUUGCUUUGGGCAAAGCGUUCCACUUGCUGAAGGUUCAAGAGUUGGCAAGUCCUGUGGCCACUCCCUCCACACCCCCACCAUCAGAAGUAUAGUGAGGAGUCUGCUAGAGGAUGCCAACUUCUGGGAUUAUCCUCUAGGCAUAGUGGUGGGCCCAUACAGAAAAUUCUUGGACAGCUUUUCCUGGAAUGUUUCUACUAACAACCCAUCUCAAACAUGAGAUCCCUUUACAGCAGAUCCCAAAUGCAGAGCUGUCUGCCUGGGGCUCAGUUCCCUCAGAAUCUUCCACUGGGGGUUGAAUGGACAACGCUUACCUGGGAGAUACACCGAGGAGCUGCCAGGCUUUGGUGCGCUGUGCUCCUGGUUUAUUUCUAGCCUUUCCUAGGCAGAGGCGCCUUUUUGGUGUCAAUUAAAUUCCCAUGGCUAGAACCUAACUGGGAGUGCAAUAGGUACGUGGUUUGCUGUUCUGAUGAUGUGUAGUGUCAGGGUCUACUGUGCCACUUAAACUCUUCAUAAUAUACCUCCUCCCAUUCUCGA